UUUUUUCUUUUCUUUUUGUUUUUUGUUCAGAUUGGGUGAUUUUCUACUAUCCUGUCUUCUAAAUCACUAUCCAUUCUUCUGUUAUCAUCUACCUAUUGUUGGAUUCCUUCUAAUGUACUUUUUCAGUUACUGUAUUCUUUAGCUGUUUGGUUUUUCUUUAUAGUUUCAAACUCUUUGUUAAACUUCUCACUGUGUUCAUGUAUUCUUCUCCUGAGUUCAUUGACCAUCUUUAUGAUCAUUACCUUGAGUUCUCUAUUGGGAAGAUUAUUUAUCUCUACUUCAUUUAGUUCCUCUGAGGUUUUGUCUUGUUUCCUCAUUUGGCACAUAUUCCUCUGCCUCCUCAUUUUGACUUUCUGGGUAUAUUUCUAUGCAUUAGGUUGGUUGGUUCUGAUUCCCAUCCUUGGAGCCCUGGUCUCAUAUAGGAGAUGUCCUGUGAGGUCCAGCAGCAUACUCCCCUCUAGUCACCAGAUCUUGCUCUAGGAGUAUCCCUGUGUGGGUUAUGUGGGCCCUUCUGUUGUGGCAUGGCAAAUUCCUAUGCAUGUUCUGCUAGUGAGGGUUGGUCCCUAGCCUGGUUGGCUGCCAGGCUCUGCCUUGUGUGGUGAAUGGGAGGGCCCAGGGCCAUGCCAGCCCACUAGUGGGUGGAGCUGGUUCCUGGUUCCUGGGGCAGCUGGCUGAGGGGUUAGUUGGGCCCAGGUUGGUGCCAGGCUACUGGUGAGUGGGACUUAAUCUCUACAUGACUAGCUGUGUAACCUGGGGAUUUCCAGCACUAGUGCCAGCCUCCUGGUAGGCAGGUAAGCCCUAGACCAUAUAGGCUAGAGGAAGGACUCCAAAAUAGUGCUUUCUGGCACUAGUGUCCUCAUCAUUGACUGAGCUCCCCAAAAUGGCUGCCAUCAGUGUCUAUGUCCCUAGGAGGAGCCCAGUUUCCUCUUGCCUUUCUGAGAGGCUCUCCAAGAUAGUAAAUGGGUCUGUCCAGGCUAUUUCCAAGUUACUACCUCUGUGCUGGUUCUUAGAGCGGGUGAGAUUUUGCACAUGCUCUUUAAGAAUGGGGUCUCUAAAUCCUACUGUCCUCUGGCUCUCUGGUUCAAGUCAGAUAUUCUGGGGCCUCUUCUUCCCAGUCCAGAACUACUGGGCUGGGGAAAUUCGAUGAAAACUACACUCCUUGGGGAGAACCUCUGCAAUUGUGAUGAUCCUCCCAUUUGUGGGUCACCUACCCAGGGGUUUGGGUCUUGACUGUACCUCAUUUUCUGUCCCUCCUACCUGUCUCAUUCUGGUUCCUUCAUUAUUUUUUUUGCUAUGGAAAAUAUUUUCUGCUGGUAUUCAGGACAUUCUCUUGAUAGUUGCUCUUAACUAGUUGUCAUUUUGGUAUGCCUGGGGGAGGAGGUGAAGUUAGGGUCUUCCUCCUUCACCAAUGGGGCCACUCCUAUUCCAAAAUUCAAUUUCUAAACUUAAAAAGUCUGGAAGUCUGGCCAGCAUGUUGGAGAGAUACACUUGGUACUUCCCCAGAUAAUCUCUCCCUGGUGGUUCCUGGUGCUGCAUUAGAUGUAACAUGCCAUGAAGAGAGUGUGCUCCUUCAGAAAGCACUUCAAGUUUCUGUUCCUUGCAGUUACUAAUAUAGUUGGUCCAGUCAAUGAGCCCACAAUAGUAAUUCCUGUCCUUACCUAUUUUGCAUACUAUAAUAAGUGACCUGGCUCAGUUAAAAAUAAACUUAGACUUAAGUAGAGUCGACAUGGAAUAUAUGAAAAAUAAGUAUGUAGGAAGUUCAUUACUUUAAUUCAUGGAUAUUGCAAUUACUGCAUCAGUCUAAUCAGAUAUAUGGAGGUUUUUUGAUAUCAAGAAAUAAGAAGAUUGAGAUAAGGCAGCUAAUUUCUGAAACUGUGAUUGAAUGACAUUAAUGAACUAAAUUAAUGUUUUUUUUCUAUUCCUUUGGGAGAAAAUUUAGACAAGAAUUUUUUUAAAAAAGGAAUGUUUUGAUGAUUAGCAUUUCUUGAAGGUACUGGAAGGUAGCACAAGAUAUUUAACUAUGCAUUAUACAAACAGUAAGAUUAAAAUACUUCAAAUUUAAUUUCCUUUUGUAUUUUAUCUAACUGUAAUUGACUUUCAAUAUAUUUACUUAAGUUUUUCCCUUGACCUUUUUUUUCUCACUUCCCUUUUUCUUUAAACAACGUUGAAAGCAGAGAUUUUUAUCUAUUAAUUAGCAGCACAAACUUAUGUUAGAGUUGCCUGAGGCACUCAUGCAUCAGUGGUUAAGUACUACAUUGCUACCAUAUAAUUAAGUGAUUUUAAACUUGUAAGAAAGAGGGAAAGGGAGGGGUAAGGGGGGGAGAGAGAGAGAGACAAUGGAAAAUGAAGAGGGAGAGAUGAAAGAGAAAAGCAGAAAAUUGUUGAAGAGAAAAGUAUCCAUUAUAGGAAAAUGUAUUAUAUUAAUAAAUAAUACAUUGCAGUUCUUUGUGAUAUCACUAGGUGGCAUGUGACUGACUUAAACAAAAAUGAAACUAGAGAGGAGCCAGGAACAUUUUGAUUUUAAACAACAGCUAUAUCUAGAAAUUUUUCCAUAUUUAUUUUCAUACCUGUUUCCACAGUCCACAAAGCAGAUAUCUCAAAUUUGGGUGGUGAGGGGCACAACCAAAUGAUAUAAUACAUGCAAAAGUGCUAUUGGUGCCUGGUGUACAGUUAGUCCUUGAUCUAUGUAAUGUUAAUUUUGUGUGAUUAAUUGGAGAAACAGUGUUUCUUUGGCUGUUUAUGUCAGUACAAAUGCAUAACCGUAUUAACGAGGGAGAUCAGGAAUCUCCAUAACUGGUAAUGUGUUCUGAAAUGGUUCACAGAAUCAUUGAAAAUACAAAAAUAUAAAGUGACGGUGCAUGAAUGCAUUUUGUUGAAAUUCUUCUAAUUAUUUCUAAAAUUAAUGUAAAUAUAUUUUUUUGCAGAGUUACUCCCAUUUGAAUUCCACAAAGCAUUCUUGAAUACGAUGUACAAGGCUCCUUGCCACGUUCUGAAUUCAUCCUUAAAAUUUAUAAGCACGUCUCAUACACACACUUUUGUGAUCUGUAGUUUAUUUCCCCAUCUUUGUUUUAAAAAUGAUGCAUUACCAAACUCUAUUCUCCCUUUUCUUCUUCUAUGAAGAAUAUACCUCAGUGUAAUAAUAGAAACCCUGCGAAUAAAGAUGGCUUUCAUAUAUAAUGCAUAUGUAGUAGACUGCAAGAAAGAACAAUGGGAAAUUGUAAAACACUCCAUGGUGUUGCUGGUAUCAGUAAAUGCUAAGAAGAGGAAACACUGUUAAUGAAUAAAUAUCCAUAUCAUCCAUUUUCACAUUUCAAGGUCUAAAACUAAUGAAAGCAUUUGCUUGGAACCAGAUCCAAAAGUGUCUGUGUAAAUUUUCUCACAGACAUUUAGCCAGAUGACAAGUUGAACAUUUAAAGGGACUCCUCAAACAGAAGUUUGAGUCGCCUCCUUUAAUAAAGAAAAAUAUGGGAGUUCCCGUCGUGGCGCAGUGGUUAACGAAUCCGACUAGGAACCAUGAGGUUGCGGGUUCGGUCCCUGCACUUGCUCAGUGGGUUAACGAUACGGCGUUGCCGUGAGCUGUGGUGUAGGUUGCAGACGCGGCUCGGAUCCAGGGUUGCUGUGGCUCUGGCGUAGGCCAGUGGCUACAGCUCCGAUUCAACCCCUAGCCUGGGAACCUCCAUAUGCAGUGGGAGCGACCCAAGAAAUGGCAAAAAGACAAAAAAAAAAGAAAAAAAGAAAAGAAAAAGAAAAAUAUGGACAAAUAGUUACAAAAGAUAAAAAACAGCCAUUUUUCAUUCUUAGAUAAAGAGGAGAGAAACUUUAGUUUAUUGAAUAUUUACCUUGUGACAAACACUGUAAAUAUAUUAUUUAAAUCCUAGCAGUAACCAAUUCAAAGACGUGUUAUCGCAUGCUGUCUAUGAGGAAAAUGAAGUUGUGUUUUAGUAAAAAACUUGCCCAACAUCACUCAUCCUGUGAGUGGAAAAACUUGGGUAGAAGUUAAUGGACAUUCUCAUCCAGCUGCCUCUGAUGCAUUCUAAUUAACAGAUUUUCUGGCUGGUCAAUUAGAAAUGCAACCAAUUUUCAUAAAAAUGCAUUCAUUACUUAUUAAUCACAGUUUGACAAAUGAAGGCAUUUUAUGUGCUGUAUGUGAUAAUGCAUUGCUUUGGCAUUGGAGAUUUGCGUUAGAAUACAAAUUUAAAGUGCAUCAAAGUUCAGAUAUAAAGUAGGGAGUUCAAAAACGAUAUUUAAGUAAUAGAAGAAUAAUUUUAAAUAUUGCUGGAAGUACUUCUAAGUCUAGUAGUUUAGAUUACUUGGACCAAAAUAGUCAUGAGAGUAACUAGAAAAUCUGUGUGUGUGUUGGGGGGGAGGGGGUUGGGUCCACACGUUAUGAAAAGACUGGAGAGUGGAAACGAGAAUUAAAAUUUAUCCAACCAACAUCUGGGAAAGCGUAGUGCCACAGAAAGCCUGAGAUUUGGGGUUGUGUUGUUUUUUAUUCCUUUGAAUAUUUACCACUCUAGGCAGAAGGGCCAAGAUAGUGAGAGAGAGAAGUAGGUCUUUUGACAUCCUGGAGUAGAGAUGGAGAUGGAAAUUAGAGGCCAGGCACCUCCAAAGGAGGAGUUGGAGGACCUCUCUCAUAUUCGGUCGAGAGAGCAAAGGGCCCCACCCCAGGGCAAGCAUGAUCUCUGUGCAGAAAGGCCUGUCCAGAGACGACACCUCAGGUUCAGCUACCCUCAGUACCUCAAACUGGAUUGAGGCAAUCCAGAUUUCCAGCGCCCCCAUGCAGCUAGCAGAAGCAAAAUAAAAAAGACUUUGGAACAAGGUAACAUGUUCAGCCUCAAAUUAUUUCUCCAAACAGCUUUUCAAACAGAUCUCCACAUUAUCCACACAAAUAUGACCAGGCACAUGAAGGAAGACAGGAUGAUUAAAAGCCACCAGCAACAACAGAACAGUAAUGUUGUCUAAAGGUCUGUGUCCUCAUGUUGGAACACAGUGAUGGUGAUGGUAUUAGUAGGUGGGACAUUGGGGAGGUGAUUAGGUCAUGAGAAUGGAGGCCUCGCCAAUGGGAUUAGUGGUCUUAUGUAAGGAACUCCACCCAGCUCCCUUACUCCUUCCACCCUGUGAAGGUGUGAGGAGAAAUCUGCAGCCUGGAAGCCUGGAAGAUGGUCCAUGCCGACACCCUGACCUUGGACUUCCAGCCUCCAAAACUGUGAGAAAUAAGUUUCUGCUGUUUCCAAGCUAUAUAGUCUGUGGUAUUUUGUGAUAGCAACCCAAACAAAAGUAACCAUAUAGAAACAGACCUACAGGUGCUGCAAUAGCAAGCAAAUUUUGAAAAAAAAUUAUGCUAUGUGUAAGGUGCCAG
ensembl:lncRNA